rnacentral:rRNA from 1 species
AUGAACGCUGGCGGCGUGCCUAAUACAUGCAAGUCGAGCGAACGGAUGAGAAGCUUGCUUCUCUGAUGUUAGCGGCGGACGGGUGAGUAACACGUGGAUAACCUACCUAUAAGACUGGGAUAACUUCGGGAAACCGGAGCUAAUACCGGAUAAUAUUUUGAACCGCAUGGUUCAAAAGUGAAAGACGGUCUUGCUGUCACUUAUAGAUGGAUCCGCGCUGCAUUAGCUAGUUGGUAAGGUAACGGCUUACCAAGGCAACGAUGCAUAGCCGACCUGAGAGGGUGAUCGGCCACACUGGAACUGAGACACGGUCCAGACUCCUACGGGAGGCAGCAGUAGGGAAUCUUCCGCAAUGGGCGAAAGCCUGACGGAGCAACGCCGCGUGAGUGAUGAAGGUCUUCGGAUCGUAAAACUCUGUUAUUAGGGAAGAACAUAUGUGUAAGUAACUGUGCACAUCUUGACGGCACCUAAUCAGAAAGCCACGGCUAACUACGUG